GAUGAACGCUAGCUACAGGCUUAACACAUGCAAGUCGAGGGGCAGCGCAGUGUAGCAAUACAUGGGCGGCGACCGGCGCACGGGUGCGUAACGCGUAUCCAACCUUCCCGUUACUCAGGGAUAGCCUUCCGAAAGGGAGAUUAAUACCUGAUGGUGUUCAAAUUCCGCAUGUUAUUUGAACUAAAGAUUUAUCGGUAACGGAUGGGGAUGCGUGACAUUAGGUAGAUGGCGGGGUAACGGCCCACCAUGCCUACGAUGUCUAGGGGUUCUGAGAGGAAGGUCCCCCACACUGGAACUGAGACACGGUCCAGACUCCUACGGGAGGCAGCAGUGAGGAAUAUUGGUCAAUGGGCGGGAGCCUGAACCAGCCAAGUAGCGUGAAGGAUGACUGCCCUACGGGUUGUAAAACUUCUUUUGUUUGGGAAUAAAGACGCUACGUGUAGCGUUGUGCAUGUACCUUACGAAUAAGCAUCGGCUAAUUCCGUG
rnacentral:rRNA from 1 species